UACGUAGGUGACCAGCGUUGUCCGGAUUUACUGGGCGUAAAGAGCGCGCAGGCGGUCGUUCAAGUCGAGUGUGAAAGCCCCCCGGCUCAACUGGGGAGGGUCAUUCGAUACUGAUCGACUUGAAGGCAGGAGAGGGAAGUGGAAUUCCCGGUGUAGUGGUGAAAUGCGUAGAUAUCGGGAGGAACACCAGUGGCGAAGGCGACUUCCUGGCCUGUUCUUGACGCUGAGGCGCGAAAGCUAGGGGAGCAAACGGG
rnacentral:rRNA from 1 species